rnacentral:rRNA from 1 species
CCUACGGGUGGCAGCAGUGAGGAAUAUUGGGCAAUGGGCGCAAGCCUGACCCAGCAACGCCGCGUGAAGGAAGAAGGCUUUCUGGUUUUAAACUUCUUUUUGUAGGAAAGAACACAUGACGGUGCCUCUUCACUAAGCCACGGCUAACUACGUGCCAGCAGCCGCGUUAAUACGUAGGUGGCAGGCGUUGUCCGGAUUUACUGGGUGUAAAGGGCGUGCAGCCGGGAAGACAAGUUAGGGGUGAAAGCCCGGGGCUCAACCGGGGAACUGCAUUUGACACUGUUUUUCUUGAGUACCGGAGAGGUCAUCGGAAUGCCUUGUGUAGCGGUGAAAUGCGUAGAUAUAAGGAAGAACACCAGUUGCGAAGGCGGAUGACUGGACGGCAACUGACGGUGAGGCGCGAAAGCGUGGGGAGCAAACAGGAUUAGAUACCCGUGUAGUC